rnacentral:misc_RNA from 1 species
ACUGAAGAAGGGGAUUAUCAGGUCAAACUACGCAACCUGGUACGUUUCCUUGAAAACGGGGACCGCGGCAAAAUCACUAUCCGCUUCCGUGGACGUGAGAUGGCACACCAGGAAAUUGGUAUGAAGCUCAUGAACAGGAUCGAAGUGGAUAUUGAAGAGCUUGCCCAGGUAGAACAGCGGCCGAAAAUGGAAGGCCGCCAGAUGACCAUGGUAGUGGCCCCCCGUAAAAAGAAGUGAACCUGAUCCGGUGCUGAUCCCCCGCGGUCGCGGGGGAUUUGUCGUUCAGGGGCACAUUGAUAUCACUUAAAAACAGAAUGCGGAGUUUUAAAAAUGCCCA